rnacentral:misc_RNA from 1 species
AAUACUCAACUUCAAAGACUUUGUUGUCUUUUGAAGCUUGGACUAUGGAGGCUUUGCCGGCGUCAUUGUCAGCUCCUCUUAAAUGCAUUAGCGGAACUUUAUUAACAAAGACUAGCUUUGGUUUGAUAACAAUAUCUAUGCCGUUGCUAUGACUCUGUUGUUCAGCUUAUAAUUGUCUUCGGACUGUCUCUUUCGGAGGCAUAAAUAAAUUUUAA